UACAGAGGUCUCAAGCGUUGUUCGGAUUCAUUGGGCGUAGAGGGUGUGUAGGUGGCGCCGUAAGUCGGGUGUGAAAUUUCGGAGCUUAACUCCGAAACUGCAUUCGAUACUGCGGUGCUUGAGGACUGGAGAGGAGACUGGAAUUCAUGGUGUAGCAGUGAAAUGCGUAGAGAUCAUGAGGAAGACCAGUGGCGAAGGCGGGUCUCUGGACAGUUCCUGACACUGAGACACGAAGGCCAGGGGAGCAAACGGG
rnacentral:rRNA from 1 species